rnacentral:rRNA from 1 species
UACGUAGGGCGCAAGCGUUAUCCGGAAUUAUUGGGCGUAAAGCGCUGGUAGGUGGCUUGUUAAGUCGCGUGUGAAAGCUCCAGGCUCAACCUGGAAAGUGCGCGCGAAACUGGCGAGCUUGAGUGCCGGAGAGGGUCGCGGAAUUCCCGGUGUAGAGGUGAAAUUCGUAGAUAUCGGGAGGAACACCAGAGGCGAAGGCGGCGACCUGGAAGGUAACUGACACUGAGCAGCGAAAGCGUGGGGAGCAAACAGG